UCAAGUGAAUAAGUGCAUACGACGGAUGCCUUGGCAGUAGAAGGCGAUGAAGGACGUGAUAAUCUGCGAUAAGCUUCGGUUAGCUGAUAAUAAGCUUUAACCCGGAGAUCUCCGAAUGGGAAAACCCAGUGAUCAUAAGAUCAUUAUCCUUAACUGAAUACAUAGGUUAAGGAGGCAAACCUAGGGAACUGAAACAUCUAAGUACCUAGAGGAAAAGAAAUCAACCGAGAUUCCCUUAGUAGCGGCGAGCGAACGGGGACCAGCCCUUAAGCAAUUUUGAGAUUAGUAGAAUGUUCUGGAAAGUUCAACGACACAGGGUGAUAGUCCCGUAUACGAAAAUCUUUUAAUUGUGAAAUCGAGUAAGGCGGCGCACGUGAAACGCUGUUUGAAUAUGGGGGGACCACCCUCCAAGGCUAAAUACUCUCUACUGACCGAUAGUGAACAAGUACCGUGAGGGAAAGGCGAAAAGAACCCCGGGAGGGGAGUGAAAUAGAACCUGAAAUCGUAUGCAUACAAGCAGUGGGAGCAGACUUGUUCUGUGACUGCGUACCUUUUGUAUAAUGGGUCAGCGACUUACUUCUCAGUAGCAAGGUUAACCAUUAGGGGAGCCGUAGGGAAACCGAGUCUUAAAUGGGCGUUUAGUUGCUGGGAGUAGACCCGAAACCGGGUGAUCUAUCCAUGGUCAGUGUGAAGGUUAGGUAAAACUAACUGGAGGCGCGAACCCACUUAUGUUGAAAAAUGAGGGGAUGAACUGUGGAUAGGGGUGAAAGGCCAAACAAACCCGGAGAUAGCUGGUUCUCUCCGAAAUCUAUUUAGGUAGAGCGUCGCGUAUUACUUCUGGGGGUAGAGCACUGUUAUGGCUAGCGGGUCGUCAAGGCUUAGUAAACCAUUGCAAACUCCGAAUACCAGAAAGUAUGAGCGCGGCAGACACACUGCGGGUGCUAACGUCCGUAGUGGAAAGGGAAACAACCCAGACCGUCAGCUAAGGUCCCAAAAUUAUAGUUAAGUGGGAAACGAUGUGAAAAGGCCCAGACAGCCAGGAGGUUGGCUUAGAAGCAGCCAUUCCUUUAAAGAGUGCGUAAUAGCUCACUGGUCGAGUCGGUUUGCGCGGAAGAUUUAACGGGGCUAAACUAUAUACCGAAGCUGCGGAUCGCAAUUUAUUGCGAUGGUAGGAGAGCGUUCUGUAAGCCGUUGAAGGUGAACUGUGAGGUUUGCUGGAGGUAUCAGAAGUGCGAAUGCUGACAUGAGUAACGAUAAAGGGGGUGAAAAACCCCCUCGCCAGAAGUCCAAGGUUUCCUACGCAACGUUAAUCGGCGUAGGGUUAGUCGGCCCCUAAGGCGAGGCAGAAAUGCGUAGUCGAUGGGAAACGGGUUAAUAUUCCCGUACUUCAUAUAACUGCGAUGGGAAGACGGAGUAGGUUAGCUCAGCAAGGCGAUGGUUGUCCUUGUUCAAGCGUGUAGAAAUGGUUCUUAGGAAAAUCCGGGAACCUCUAUUUCAAGGCGUGAUAACGAGCCCUCUUUUGGGCGAAGUGAGUGAGACCAUGCUUCCAGGAAAAUCCUCUAAGCUUCAGGUUAUAUGAAACCGUACCCCAAACCGACACAGGUGGACGAGAUGAGAAUUCUAAGGCGCUUGAGAGAACUCGGGUGAAGGAACUAGGCAAAAUGACACCGUAACUUCGGGAGAAGGUGUGCUCUUGUUAUGUGAUAUCACUUGCUGAUUGAGCAAAGAAGAGCUGAAAAAACUAGGUGGCUGCGACUGUUUAUUAAAAACACAGCACUCUGCAAACACGUAAGUGGACGUAUAGGGUGUGACUCCUGCCCGGUGCUUGAAGGUUAAUUGAUGAGGUUAGCGCUUGCGCGAAGCUUUUGAUCGAAGCCCAAGUAAACGGCGGCCGUAACUAUAACGGUCCUAAGGUAGCGAAAUUCCUUGUCGGG
rnacentral:rRNA from 1 species